GGCAUUGUGGGACACACCGUGGAUGACUGCAGUAGCAUGUUUUGGAUGUGGGUUCUGUUGCCGAAAGGCUGCAGCUCAGCGAUGACAAAAGUUGGACCUGCCUGCUCCAGCACCUUGUGCACCUUCCCGCUGUCUGCGUCUGAUCCAAUCUUUCAGCUCUUGGUAGUCUUUCCUUUGCCUUAGCACUUCCCGGGGGAGAUUCUGGCUGUUUUCAACGCACUGUGAGAAGCGUAAACGCGAUGAAGUCUAACAUGCCUACAUGAACAGAACACGCUGAACGGCUAUGCAAUGACUGUCCUGCUGAAGCUUGCAUAUAGCUAAAUGUGGUCUACGGAUGCAACCGCAACAGCACGAGGAACGAGACUUGCAGUGAUGUCGUACCAUACAUUGGUGAAGAGUGCAUACACCUUGCUGUCUCUCCAGUUGGCUGCAUGCAG